rnacentral:rRNA from 1 species
GACGGAGGAUGCAAGCGUUAUCCGGAAUGAUUGGGCGUAAAGCGUCCGCAGGUGGCAGUUCAAGUCUGCUGUCAAAGACCGGGGCUUAACUACGGAAAGGCAGUGGAAACUGAACAGCUAGAGUAUGGUAGGGGCAGAGGGAAUUCCUGGUGUAGCGGUGAAAUGCGUAGAGAUCAGGAAGAACAUCGGUGGCGAAGGCGCUCUGCUGGACCAUAACUGACACUCAGGGACGAAAGCUAGGGGAGCGAAUGGG